GUUGCAGCUGAAAAUAUAGCAGAUAUUCCACAGCCUAUGGAUUUCUCACUUCAUCUUGUGCAAAUGCAGAAGUGCUUUCUCAGACUGAACGAGCCAGCAUUAAUAACAACCAGGAGAGAAGCAAGUGUCAGAUUUCCUAGUUUCAGCAAGGAAUCACCCCAGAUGCGUGUCCCAGAAAUGGACUACUGAGCAGAGGCAAUAGAUGGAGAUGUAGAAUAAAGGACUGUGUAGGGAACCUCUCCAUCCAAAAUCCUAAAGCUCUAUCUGUUUCAUUGUAAAGAAAAGAAACAGCUCAGCAGUGAUUUCUAAAACAGAGAGAUCUGGAAAGUCAUCCCAGAGAACAACUUGGUGCAAAGGAUUAACAGCCUGAGUAAAACAUCACACACAGGUUUGGCAGUAAUGACCAUUCUUUGAUGAAGAAAAGCUUAAGAUCAGUCACAAACUUACACCUAUAUAACCCAGUUUUUAAAAAAAUUAACAGUUAAAAGUAUGGUUAAGAACCACUCAUGUGUCUGAGUAGCAUUAUAAUUGAAUUUGCUCAUAUGGACAGAUCAGUGAAAAACUGCAGAUAUAGGGAAAAAGUGGGAAAACCCAAUUG